UGGGUCUGGAGGCGCAUUCAUCGGUCACGCCCCCACAGCGUUCAGCAGGAAAGACGACAACUUGAUUUAGCGUUCCCUGGAGUUCCACUUGAAGUCCAGGCGAGUUGAAAAAGGCUCUGGGCUCCGGCGAGGACGUUGCUAUUCUUAGAAGCCAUUUGACGCAGCGAGCCGCCACACCGCAGGGAUUUCUCCGUCCAAUAAUUGUGGUUCUCGCGCCAGACUCGCCGCUCGGUAUCCCCGCCCCGCCCCGCCUCGCCUGGUGGGCUCGGGAACAAGGACGUCUCCCUGGAAACCGGACACUUUUGAUGUCAGCGGCUAAUCCGCGAGCCGCCAGCGGGGAACUCGUCGCUGAUGGUGGGGAUGCUUUAAAUAGCGCCGUACCCGCCGACGCUUUGAAACGCCAUCGUAAGCACUUCGGAGGUCGGAAAUCGGCGCUGGCUGGGAUUUUGCUGCGUGAAGCGACUGAUUUCUAGGAGAUGGAGAAAAUGUCAGAGACCCAGAUGGAGUUAAUAUUUAACAGGCUUUUUAUCUUACGCCACACAGGCAGCGACAUGCACUGACCUGAUGAACCGCGGGUUAAAAAAAAAAAAAAGCUUGGCGGCAGGAGGCCCAAUGAGAUUAGUGACGAAAUGAAAAUAUUGAUCAAUGGAAAACGCUCAAAUAGUAAAAAGUGUCAAUAGGAUUUUUGGGGGGUCAAGGGUUUAUUCCAUUCAACUCCCUUUGAGCUGUGCUGUUUGGUUUGACCCGCUGUCACAUUUCGCCGUUUGAAAUGAAAAUCUGGGGGAGAAUAAAAAUAAAAUGUCCAAUU